rnacentral:rRNA from 1 species
CCUACGGGAGGCAGCAGUGGGGAAUAUUGGACAAUGGGCGCAAGCCUGAUGCAGCCAUGCCGCGUGUAUGAAGAAGGCCUUCGGGUUGUAAAGCACUUUCAGCGGGGAGGAAGGCGAUGCGGUUAAUAACCGCGUCGAUUGACGUUACCCGCAGAAGAAGCACCGGCUAACUCCGUGCCAGCAGCCGCGGUAAU